UACGUAGGUGGCGAGCGUUGUCCGGAAUUACUGGGCGUAAAGCGCGCGUAGGCGGCUUUGCAAGUCGGGUGUGAAAUCCCCAGGCUUAACCUGGGAACUGCAUUCGAGACUGCAUUGCUAGAGUAUGGGAGAGGGAAGUGGAAUUUCCGGUGUAGCGGUGAAAUGCGUAGAUAUCGGGAGGAACAUCUGUGGCGAAGGCGACACCCUGGACCAGCACUGACACUGAGGCACGAAAGCGUGGGGAGCAAACAGG
rnacentral:rRNA from 1 species